rnacentral:rRNA from 1 species
GACGAACGCUGGCGGCGUGCUUAACACAUGCAAGUCGAACGGAAAGGCCCUGCUUUUGUGGGGUGAUCGAGUGGCGAACGGGUGAGUAACACGUGAGUAACCUGCCCUUGACUUUGGGAUAACUUCAGGAAACUGGGGCUAAUACCGGAUAGGAGCUCCUGCUGCAUGGUGGGGGUUGGAAAGUUUCGGCGGGUGGGGAUGGACUCGCGGCUUAUCAGCUUGUUGGUGGGGUAGUGGCUUACCAAGGCUUUGACGGGUAGCCGGCCUGAGAGGGUGACCGGCCACAUGGGGACUGAGAUACGGCCCAGACUCCUACGGGAGGCAGCAGUGGGGAAUAUUGCACAAUGGGCGGAAGCCUGAUGCAGCAACGCCGCGUGCGGGAUGACGGCCUUCGGGUUGUAAACCGCUUUCGCCUGUGACGAAGCGUGAGUGACGGUAAUGGGUAAAGAAGCACCGGCUAACUACGUG